rnacentral:snRNA from 1 species
UGCCUGGCUCCCUGUAUGCCACA